rnacentral:rRNA from 1 species
GGGGAAUAUUGCACAAUGGGCGCAAGCCUGAUGCAGCGACGCCGCGUGCGGGAUGAUGGCCUUCGGGUUGUAAACCGCUUUUGAUCGGGAGCAAGCCUUCGGGUGAGUGUACCUUUCGAAUAAGCACCGGCUAACUACGUGCCAGCAGCCGCGGUAAUACGUAGGGUGCAAGCGUUAUCCGGAAUUAUUGGGCGUAAAGGGCUCGUAGGCGGUUCGUCGCGUCCGGUGUGAAAGUCCAUCGCUUAACGGUGGAUCUGCGCCGGGUACGGGCGGGCUGGAGUGCGGUAGGGGAGACUGGAAUUCCCGGUGUAACGGUGGAAUGUGUAGAUAUCGGGAAGAACACCAAUGGCGAAGGCAGGUCUCUGGGCCGUCACUGACGCUGAGGAGCGAAAGCGUGGGGAGCGAAC